UCAACUUCAACUUUUCAUUAGCCAAAUAAGGAUACACAUGAUUUUACACCACAGUGUUUCAACCACACUUAUAACAAAGAUAUUAGUAUCAUCUAGAAUCACUACAUGGAUCCUACACUACCAAUCUGAAACCUUUGCUGCAAUUUAAACUCCAAUGAACACGAUACUACUCCCACGACCUAGGAAUAGCCGGUUCUUAACCACCUACUUGGACCAAGAAGACGAGAGCCUUGUAGACUGAUAGAUGUUCAUCGCUAACCAAGAUACCACAUUGACGCUUGGCACUGGUCUCCUAAGGAUCCGAAUGCUACACCGGACCAACACCUCUCGGUGCAUCUCUUGACAGGACCAACACCCUUGGUCUGAAAGCUUCGCUCCUAAGCCAACAAAACAUUUCUACCUCCUACAUUCGACCCAAUGGUGCGACCAACAUUUACUAAUGCAAGAGGAUAACCGAUCUACUCUCGAGUACAUUCAAAGUUUACCUACUGAUUCCAUAAGAUCAACAGUUAAGUACAUGAACCAGUAGUUUCUUCACCAAAGGUGCAUUCUCGAGCUAGCGACAUCGUCUUGUUGUUCAAUGCUGCGACCCUCAGCCAAACAAACGGACACCACGAUCCGUAAUGAAAAUCGG
rnacentral:lncRNA from 1 species